UUCCUUCUUGUCUCUUCUCUUCAUUCCUGGCAUACCAGAGAAGCCCGUGGGCCGAGGAGGAGUGUAAGGACUGCAAAUACUAACAGCAAUUUAGUUAUACCGAGAAAGAAAGAGCGAUUGGAGAUAGAGAGAGGACUUUGUUAGACUCUAUCAACAGAGUGCCUACUGUCUAAGUCUUCUCUUUUUAUAAGACUGAGAAGAGAAGGAGACACAAACUGGAUUCAAGAUGAACGUGUGGCGUGUUAUGAACAAGAGGAAGAAGCAAGAAAA